GGACGGGUGAGGGUCAGGCUUCAGGGAAGGGUUAGGGUUAGGGUUCAGGCUAGGGUUAGGCUUAGGGGACGGGGACGGUUUAGGGUCCAGGUGAGGAUACGACAACGCUUUAGGGGGAG